rnacentral:lncRNA from 1 species
AUAAUGAUUGAGCCUCCUUUUUUUCUUCUUAAAAUUAGGACACGUACUUGCCAGCUGUCCUUUGUUAUGGCAAAUAAAGCAUUUAUCCUUUCCUAAAUCUUUCUUUUCUGGGGGAUGUGGUGUUGCCGCUAGAUAUCUGCUCUUUAUCCAGUGGUUUUUUCUUUCUGGCCCGCCUGUACUAUAUGUACUUUUUAUGCCUUGCUUAACAUCUUAAGGAUUAUG